CGCGUUUUUCGCCCAGGCGGAUCUCGACCGCCGACUCAAGUCCUGACCGAAUUCAUCGAUUAGCACCGCGACACUCACGGGGUCGCGCCGUCGCCAGCCGCGCCG
rfam:Candidatus Contendobacter odensis Run_B_J11, WGS project CBTK01000000 data, contig: COMPJ11_2695_Contig_7